CGGGGUAUAGCUCAGACGUAAAGCGCUCGCUUCGCAUGCGAAAAGUCUGGGCUUCGGUUCCCCAUACCUAGA
rnacentral:tRNA from 1 species